UGCAAAGAACAUGACUAUAUGAUUAAAGUUGCAGAAAUCGAAAUGAAAGGAAAAGAAGGAUUAUUUGUGCAGGUGAAACUUCAGUUUUCACAGUAAGCUAUACUAUCGAUGGAAAAGGCCAAUAUGGCAAUAUGGUUCGAGACUUAGAGCAAUCAUAUAAGUUCAUUAAGUUGAAAUGAAAACCAAUUUUCGAUCUUCGUAUUGGCAUCUAGAACUCGAAAGAUGCUGUCCUUGGACGACUAACAGCUUAUUCGGAUGGUUUGCUCGUGUUGAUCACAUAGCUUAUCAGUUGUUUUAGUUUUAUGAAUCAUCAUAAAGGUGAG